rnacentral:lncRNA from 1 species
GAGCUGGCGGUCGUUCCCGGGGAAGAACUGCUAAAACAUGAGACCAAGGCACAGACCUUACUGUAUGAGAAGCAAUGCUCCUCAAACCUUCUGCGUGCUGACAUAGACCUUCCCAGCAAAACUGUUGGCGGCGACCUGAGCGCUGGAAGCCGAAGGGGAAGAGGAAGGAGACGCGAAGCCAGGGCGGCCGGCACAAAGGCGGCGGACUCGCGGCGGCAGCGCCUGCCCGGCCGGGAGCACAACCCACGGCCCUACUCCAGCGAAGUCCCGCACCGGCUUCUAGGAAUAAAGUUUACGUUCUCCUGAGGCCGCACCCCCCACCUCCCACCCAGGACGGCACAUCUCCGUGUCCUCCUCCCCCAAACUCCACUCGGGACCCCGAGAACCACCCCAGCCUUCCGGCCACCACAACAAAGAGCCGCACCGACCGGCGAGGAUAAACAGCGGCGGAGGGCGAGAGGGCGGCGGGGCGAGCGCCUCCACGCAGCAACUCCGGAGUCCCCCGCUUGCCCGAGCGCAGUUUCUCCGCUGCUGUUUCCACCGGCUUUGUAACACUGGGAAUUUACAUCCUCACCCGCACCCCUCACGCCCGAGGAUUUUAAACUCACCUUUACUCUCGAACUGAGAGUUGCGGUAGAUGGGAUUUUUGCCUUUUCCCCAGAUGGUUGAAGGUUAAGAUUUUUGGAAACCCCACCACCUCCUUAUUUCUAUUAUUAUUUCUGCAAGAAAAGUAUAAAGAGAGUUGUAGUGGAGGUGAGAUUUGUGAUCGGGAAAGCCUUCGACUCCCUCCUUCUCCGUCUUCCGCCUCUCUCUCUCUGAUUAGUUCCUAUCCAGCAGCAGAUUGAAGCAGGAGAUGAUUCUUCUCAAGGUUUGUUCAGCAGCUUCACUUCUAGGCGAAGGCUUCAUGAACCAAGUGACGUCAACCAACAAGGCUUCUCUCUCUCUCCUCUCUCUAACAAUGAAAGUUGCUGUUAACAAGGGAAAAAAAGAGAGAGAAUUGUUUAUACCAUUUCAGUUCCAAUAAUAAAUGACCUAUCAGCUCCUAAAGGAGCCAAGGGAGGGGGUUGCUUCUUCUUUCCAAGAAUACUGUAGCUUUGAGUUUGCACCGUUCCUUGUCCCAGGAAAAAGUUAAGAAACUUAAAAUGUUUUGUUUUGCUUUUAAAGAAGACAGGACAGAAAACGGGAUUUAAAACUUAGUUUUUAAAAAAACAAAAGCUACAGAGUAGGGAGCAUAGGUCAACCAUCUCCACCUAAAUUUUUUUUGUUCCUAAACUCAGAAUUCUACAACCCAACUAAAUUAAUAUGCCAAGAUUUUGCGGAUGUUAAAACUCAAAAAAAGCAGUAUGCAAGACGGUCCCGGGGUAAAAUUCUACUGCCUUUCCACGGACAAGUUAAACUGGCUGUAAUGUUUAUGCACUAAGUUAAAAUAAAAUUUAAAUAAAAGACGUUAAAA